AGGCUUGUGAUGAUAAAUGAUCAUUGGGCUGCGUUUGUCCUUAGCUAAUUUAUCCUUGGCCUAGAGAGAAAGUGUCUGCCUUUUUUUUUUUUUUUUAAGAGGAAAGCUGGAAAGGUGCUUGAGGCCUAAUAUCUUUGCUUGGUCUUUUUUGGGCACUGGGCCCUGCAUUUUCCACCUGGCAAUGCUGUGUGGGGCUUGUUCCAGGCGCUCUGUGGGCCUCAUGCCGCCUGUGCUGGCCGGAGCCAGCGUGGCGAUCAGACGUCUGGGUGUGCCCGGCACGACCCCACCUCGCCGCUCCCCUGAGCUGUCCUUCCCCUGCAGAGGGGCCAAGAAGCACCCCUGGGAGGCCAUGAGUGUCAGCAAGAAAGGUGCGAAAACUGCGUUUUCUUCUUGAGUUCCGUGUUUCAGGGAGAGAAUCGUGAAGAAACAGACUAAAGGACUUUGUUGCAAGCUACAGUCAUGAAGAAGGACACAUGGGCUCUGCACCAGUCCCCGGCGCUGCCUGCGGCAUCUGAUUCUGCCGGCGCUGCCCGCUUAGCUUAUGGGUACGCAGAGGAUCUGCAUCAUGGUU
rnacentral:lncRNA from 1 species